rnacentral:rRNA from 1 species
AGCGAACGCUGGCGGCAGGCCUAACACAUGCAAGUCGAACGGAUCCUUCGGGAUUAGUGGCGGACGGGUGAGUAACACGUGGGAACGUGCCCUUUGGUUCGGAACAACUCAGGGAAACUUGAGCUAAUACCGGAUGUGCCCUUCGGGGGAAAGAUUUAUCGCCAUUGGAGCGACCCGCGUCUGAUUAGCUAGUUGGUGAGGUAACGGCCCACCAAGGCGACGAUCAGUAGCUGGUCUGAGAGGAUGAUCAGCCACACUGGGACUGAGACACGGCCCAGACUCCUACGGGAGGCAGCAGUGGGGAAUCUUGCGCAAUGGGCGAAAGCCUGACGCAGCCAUGCCGCGUGAAUGAUGAAGGUCUUAGGAUUGUAAAAUUCUUUCAGCGGGGACGAUAAUGACGGUACCCGCAGAAGAAGCUCCGGCUAACUUCGUG